GAUGAACGCCGGCGGUGUGCCUAAUACAUGCAAGUCGUACGCACUGGCCCAACUGAUUGAUGGUGCUUGCACCUGAUUGACGAUGGAUCACCAGUGAGUGGCGGACGGGUGAGUAACACGUAGGUAACCUGCCCCGGAGCGGGGGAUAACAUUUGGAAACAGAUGCUAAUACCGCAUAACAACAAAAGCCACAUGGCUUUUGUUUGAAAGAUGGCUUUGGCUAUCACUCUGGGACGGACCUGCGGUGCAUUAGCUAGUUGGUAAGGUAACGGCUUACCAAGGCGAUGAUGCAUAGCCGAGUUGAGAGACUGAUCGGCCACAAUGGAACUGAGACACGGUCCAUACUCCUACGGGAGGCAGCAGUAGGGAAUCUUCCACAAUGGGCGCAAGCCUGAUGGAGCAACACCGCGUGAGUGAAGAAGGGUUUCGGCUCGUAAAGCUCUGUUGUUGGAGAAGAACGUGCGUGAGAGUAACUGUUCACGCAGUGACGGUAUCCAACCAGAAAGUCACGGCUAACUACGUGCCAGCAGCCGCGGUAAUACGUAGGUGGCAAGCGUUAUCCGGAUUUAUUGGGCGUAAAGCGAGCGCAGGCGGUUGCUUAGGUCUGAUGUGAAAGCCUUCGG
rnacentral:rRNA from 1 species